rnacentral:rRNA from 1 species
UACAGAGGGUGCGAGCGUUAAUCGGAAUUACUGGGCGUAAAGCGCGCGUAGGCGGCUUUGCAAGCCGGAUGUGAAAUCCCCGGGCUUAACCUGGGAACUGCAUUCGGGACUGCAUUGCUAGAGUAUGGGAGAGGGAAGUGGAAUUUCAGGUGUAGCGGUGAAAUGCGUAGAUAUCUGAAGGAACAUCAGUGGCGAAAGCGACUUCCUAGACCAAUACUGACGCCCAUGUGCGAAAGCGUGGGGAGCAAACAGG